UAUAAUAGAAGUUUCCAACAUUGAAGGACUAUAAUAGCCAACUCUACCAACUUGCAAGUUGCUAGACGUUAUUUGUAUACAUACUUAAUAUAACAACAUUAAAUUAGUGUAAGAUCCAACACCUAGAUUACUAUAUGAAGGACCAAAGAAAUGACAUCGAAGAGAUUUGAAUUCAAACAUUGUAUUGAAAAUGUUUAAGUUGGAUAUGAAAUUAAUAUCUCCCCUCCUUUAAUACCAUAUUAAACUACGUAUAAAACUAAAAGCUUGAGUGGAUAGGUUAGGGUAAUCUUAUUGCAUUUAACAUACUUUUAUCAAUUCUAACUCCUUUUGCUCCCCAUUCCUUUAAAUCAUGUUGUUUCAAUGGCUUCUCCAAGUUCUUUUGCCCUUUCCAACUCCUAAAACAAUUAAAGAGGUGUUUAGCAAAAGAGUCGAAAGAGUAAGUGUUGUUUGACAUAACUAGUCCAUGAUCCCAUGACUAAAAACACAUCAAUUUUACGUCAUAUUAACUCCUUUCACUAUAGGCUCUAGGAGUUCAUAACUCCACUCCUACUAAACAAACUUAAUGUUUUUCUCCCUUUUAUGCAAACGUUUGGUGUGCAAAUUAGUACAAACAUACAAGCAAGCAUAGGGCAGUAUCAAAUCUUGAAAACUAUGAGUUUCCUUUUAACUGUGCAAGCAUACCUACAAGAAGAAAAGUGAAAAUGGAUGUAGUUGAUGUUUUCUUUUUUACCUUGAUUAGUUGGGAGAAAUGCGACAAAUGGAGGACUCGAACUGGAUUUGGUCUCGGAUAAUCGUCACUCCAACGAGCUUAUGCAUUUCAG
rnacentral:lncRNA from 1 species